UUGGCACCUCGAUGUCGGCUCAUCGCAUCCUGGGGCUGUAGUCGGUCCCAAGGGUUGGGCUGUUCGCCCAUUAAAGCGGUACGCGAGCUGGGUUCAGAACGUCGUGAGACAGUUCGGUCCCUAUCCGUCGCGGGCGCAGGAAAUUUGAGAGGAGCUGUCCUUAGUACGAGAGGACCGGGAUGGACGCACCGCUGGUGUACCAGUUGUCUUGCCAAAGGCAUCGCUGGGUAGCUAUGUGCGGAAGGGAUAAGUGCUGAAAGCAUCUAAGCAUGAAGCCCCCCUCAAGAUGAGAUUUCCCAUUGCCUGGCUUGCCAGGCAGGUAAGAUCCCUGAAAGACGAUCAGGUAGAUAGGUCCGGUGUGGACGUGUGGCGACACAUGGAGCUGACGGAUACUAAUCGAUCGAGGACUUGAUCU
rnacentral:rRNA from 2 species